rnacentral:lncRNA from 1 species
CCCUCUAGAAGAUGGCUUCCCUUAUGUUAACCGUGGGCUAUAUAUUUCUCUUCGCUUUCAGGCGACCGACACUAACACGUGCAGGGGCUGGGGGGGGGGGGGGGGGGCGGCCAGGAGCUCCUCUGAGCGCCGGUUCUGUCGCUCCCUGUCUGUCCCGUGAGCUGUGGGCGGGGAGGAUGCUGCGGUGGCUGUAGCUGGGAUGGGACCGUCCGCAUUCAGGGCAGGGGCGCAAAAUGAGCCCCAGGCAGCGGCGGGCUGGCGCAGCGGGGGCGCGGGGUGCGGAGCCCAGCUGACCAUUCGGGCAGCACGUGAGGGCGGCCGACAGUAAUCAGGCAGCUUCUGAGAUGUGAGUCGAGUCCCUAUCGCGUGGAAUUCUCCAGCCAGAGGAAGGAGAGAAGACAGGAGUGGGGCGGGAGGAAGUAGGGGCUGGCCCUGAUGCGGGGAGGGGGCUUGUGCAGGUCCAGACGGCUUCAGCGGCAGGAGGGUCGGGCCUUGGGACUUGCUAGUUAGAAGAGGGAGGCAGGGGCUAUUGGGGAGGGCUCCAGGACGCUGGGGAAUCAGAGCAGCCACUUAGCCCUGAACGAGUUGUUUACAGCUUGGCUGGCUACAACAUAGGACAGUGAUUUUUUAAGGGGAGUCCUGAAGCCAGUUUGGGUGGCUUGUGGCAGCGGGAGCCCCUCAAAAGGCGUUUGGGGGUCGGUAGAGGACGCAUAUGAAGAAAGAAGGGUGUUUGGAAACAGGCUUUUGAGUCUGCGUGCACCUGCUGGGCCGUGGGUGUUGUGAGAUGCUGCCGGCAGGCCCCAGAGAGCGGCAGCUUCUGGGGGAUGGGUCCCCAGAACAGCAGGAGGACCAGGCCUGCGGAUAAUCAAGGAGCUUGCUGACAGCCCUCCGCCUGACUAAGCAUCUCACAGGAGCGUUGAGAAGCUACAGUGACCGAUCUAAGCUUCACAUGUCAUAAGAAAUAUGAAAGACAAUUGCCCCUGCACAGAGGACUCUGAACUUCAGCCCCCAAGGCCACAUUCCCCCUCCCUGUCUGAUUCUCACAGUGUGGUUUGGAAAAAUGCUUAGAACUGCAUGUAGGCAAACUAAUCUGCAACCAGUAGAAAGGAAUAACUCGUUAGCAGAAAAUUUAUGUCCUCUGCCCAAACUGUUCCUUCUGUCCCAGAUAAAGAAGGAACUGAGGUUUUCUCAGAUUCCUCAGGAAUGUUGCAUCCAGCAGAUCCGCUGUGGAGAGGUGCCCGACUUUCUGCCGUCAUCCAUCACCUGACACUCCUGACACUCGCCCCCCCUCCCCCCCCAUCUGGCUUAUAUAAGUCGUUUCCAAAUCACAUCCCUUUAAGAUGGGUUUUUUAGGAUGAUAGUCCACCAUCUUCUGAUAUGCUAGCUUAUCGCUUAUUAAAGUUUUUUCUCUACCACCGCCUGCUUGGCUGUUUAUCUUGCGGCAAGCAGAUCGAGCCCUUACUUGGUAUCAUUUCCAGCUUUUGAAGUAUAAAUGACCAAUAAAAAUUGUAUAUAUUUAAAGUC